UCUCAUCCAGGGCUCUGGCUAAAGACUCUAUCACCAGCUAUGGCUUCGGAGCUCCAGAUGUGACAAUAUUCAACUAGAUACUUGACAUUUCUUGGAGGCAUUUCAAAACUUCACCUUCCCAUAUCGAAUCCAUUGGCAAGUCCUUUUCCUGCCAGUGCUCUCCACUGGUUGAAUCCACUUGGAAGCAGGAAGAUGAGGGACCUUGUUGAUGUGCAAGCCAGUCAAUCCCCCAGGGUGUGGACAGUGGAUCUGGACAGGCUACAUAAGAUAUCCAGCCCACUCUCUUCUCAUUAUCCUGCCUUGUUUUCUUUAUUGCAUUUAUCACUGUCUGACAUUAUUUAUGUGUUUACUUAGUAUCUGUCUCCUGCACUAGAGCUCGGGACAUAAUAGAAGUUCAAUAAAUUAUUUAAAAAUCAAGUUAAUCUCAUUUUGAACUCUGGAAGUUACAAUCUGUCCAGGCAUACAUGCCUUAUUUAUAAUAUUUAGGACACUGAUGUUAAAGAUGAUUUUACCAGCCAGGUGCAGUGCCUCACGUCUGUAAUCUCAGCACUUUGGGAGGCCAAGGCAGGAGGACCGAUUGAGCUCAGGAGUUCAAGACAAGCCUGGGCAACAUAGUGAGACCCCAUCUCUACAAAAUUAAAAAUUAAAAAAUUAGCCAGGCAUGGUGGUGCAUGCCUGUAAUCCCAGCUACUUGGGGAGAAUAAGGAGGGAGGAUUGCUUGAACCCAAGAGUUUGGAGGCUGCAGUGAGCUAUACCCUGUCUCAAAAAAGAACAUUUUUCCUACACAGUAGUUUUGUGAUUUAUAGCAUAAAUGGGUUUUAAAUGGAAAACACAGCACAUACAUUCUUAUAUUCAAUUGGGUAGAGUAUUUGGGG
rnacentral:lncRNA from 1 species